CAACUAGUGGAUUUGGCAAGAUGUCGGAAUAGCUGAAAGUCACACAAAAUCAUAAAAUGUUUGCCGUUUUGUUAUUGUUGUGAAUUUUAUUGAUUUCAAAAAUUACGGCUAUGCCUCAUCUAGUCAAUUGCAUUA
rnacentral:pre_miRNA from 1 species